AGAUAGCCACUGGCUCCAUGAAGAGUCAGGAAGCUGGUGACAAAGAAAUCGGAGGGCUGGAGGGUAAAAGCAGGCGAAGGUGAUACUCAGAGGAGAAGGACACUGGAGAAGUCAGUCCUGAACCCACCAAUGAGGCUUGCCCUCUCUCACCUGCUGCCAUGUAAGAUGUGCCUGCUUCACCUUCCGCCAUGAUUGUCAGUUUCCUGAGGCCUCCCCAGCCAUGUGGAACUCUCUGUCUUUUCCAGAAUAUCAUAUAAAUGGAAUCACACGAUAGGCAGCCUUUUGAGUCUGGCUUCUUUGACUGAACAGAAUGCAUUCAAGGAUGUGAGAAGAAGAAAGGAGGGGGGAGAGGAGGAGAAAAGGACGUGCAUCAUCUGAAAAUGAAGGGUGUUCUUUAAAGCAGCAAAGUUAGCUCAACAAAACUUAUUGUGCUUUAUCAUGGGGAACUGACAUAGCAGAAAGUGGAACCAACGGUAAGGGGGGACUACUGUAACUAUGGAGGAAUAAGGACAAGAAUUACAGCAGACGUCUCAACAGAAACCAUGCAAGCCAGAGACAACGGAGUGAGAUUUUUAAAGUGUUGAAAGAAAAAAACUGUCAAAACAGAUUUCUACAUCCAGGAGAAAUAUCUUUCAAAUGUGAAAAACAAAUAAAUACUUUUGUGUACCAACAUAAACUGAGGAAGUUCAGUAAUAUUUCCUACUUUACUGGAAAUAUUAAAGGUAGUUCUUCAAACAAAGAAUUUGUUUGGAACUUAGAUCUGCAUACAGGACAUAAAUGAAGGGAAAUAUGCUUUAUCAUAUUUCUCGCUGUAAAAUAUACUUUAUCAUAUUUUCUUGCUAUAACAAGUAACUUGACUGUUUAAAGUAAUAAUAACCAUAUAUUAUAUGGUUAUGGUGUAUGUAAGAGUAAGAUGAGUUACAAUGAUAGUGCAAAAGAUGAGAAGAAAGAAUUGGGAAACACUGUUGUAAGAUCUUACAUUACAUGUGUGGCAACACUGUUAUUUGAAGGUGGACUUAGAUUAUUUAAAAUUGUAUAUUAUAAAACCUAGGGCAAUCACUACAAGUGUUAACAACACAAAAUGUGUAAAAAUCAAUUGACUAUAUUUAUGUAGGUCUAGUUCGGGGCUUUCUCUUCUAUUUCAUUGAUCUAUGUGUCUAUCCUUUUGCUACUGUCUUUAUUACUAUAUCUUUAUAAUAAUCCCAGCACUUUGGGAGACCAAGGUGGGCAGAUCAUGAGGUCAAGAGAUCGAGACCAUCCUGGCCAACAUGGUGAAACCCCAUCCCUACUAAAAAUACAAAAAUUAGCUGGGCAUGGUGGCACAUGCCUGUAGUCCCAGCUAUUCAGGAGGCUGAGGCAGGAGAAUUGCUUGAACCCAGGAGGUGGAGGUUGCAGUGAGCCAAGAUCACACCACUGCUCUCCAGCCUGGCAAUAGAGUGAGACUUUGUCUCAAAAAAAUAAAAAUAAAAAUAAAAAAUAAAAAAUAAAAAAAUUUUAAAUAAAAG
rnacentral:lncRNA from 1 species